AUUGAACGCUAGCGGGAUGCUUUACACAUGCAAGUCGAACGAGUGGAGGACGGGUGAGUAAUAUAUCGGAAAGUGCCCAGUAGCGGGGGAUAAGUACUCGAAAGAGUGGCUAAUACCGGAAACUAAUGGAGCGGCCGGUAUCGGGUUAGCUAGUUGGUGGGGUAAAGGCUAACCAAGGAAACGAUCCGUAGCUGGUUGGAGAGGACGACCAGCCACACUGGGACGUGGACACGGCCCAGACUCCUACGGGAGGCAGCAGUGGGGAUUUUUGGACAAUGGGGCAACCCUGAUCCAGCCAUCCCGCGUGUAUGAGAAGGCCUUCGGGUUGUAAAGUACUUUUGGCAGAGAAGCGGUAUCUGCAGAAUAAGCACCGGCUAACUACGUGCCAGCAGCCGCGGUAAUAC
rnacentral:rRNA from 1 species